rnacentral:rRNA from 1 species
UGAUGCAGCCAUGCCGCGUGUGUGAAGGAAGGACCUUCGGGUUGUAAAGCACUUUCAGUAGGGAGGAAGGUAGUGUAGUUAACACCUGCAUUAUUUGACGUUACCUACAGAAGAAGCACCGGCUAACUCCGUGCCAGCAGCCCGCGGUAAUACGGAGGGUGCGAGCGUUAAUCGGAAUUACUGGGCGUAAAGCGCAUGCAGGCGGCCUGUUAAGUCAGAUGUGAAAGCCCCGGGGCUUAACCUCGGAAUUGCAUUUGAAACUGGCAGGCUAGAGUCUUGUAGAGGGGGUAGAAUUUCAGGUGUAGCGGUGAAAUGCGUAGAGAUCUGAAGGAAUACCAGUGGCGAAGGCGGCCCCCUGGACAAAGACUGACGCUCAGAUGCGAAAGCGUGGGGAGCCAAAACAGGAUUAGACUACCCUGGUAG